rnacentral:lncRNA from 1 species
CGGCGAGCGCCCCGCGGCCGCCCGGGCGAUAAAAGGGCCCCCCCAGACGCUCCUCCUCCGCCGGGCGAAGGUGACGCGGACGCGGCGGGCAGCGGUGCGUGUGGCGGCCCGGUCAUGGCGUCGCAGGCGGGAGGGCUGCCUGUGCCCCUGCUGCUGCUGCUGCUGCUCAGCCUUGCCGGGCGGGACGGCCUGGUGCUGGGGACGACAGGCACAGAUAAGACAGUGAAGGUGUCCCCAACUUUUUCUGCAUUCUCAAGACCCACGGAGACUUCAGUGCUUCUGCCCACCAUUACCUCCACCAGCACAGCCACCACUCCUCCAUCCAGCCCUGAAGUGGGAACCUCCACCCCAGAGGAGAGGUCCAGCACACCACCAUACACCUUCACAGCCAGCACUGUGACUACUUGGGGUAGCAGCCCCACAGUCUCUAAAGUCCUCACGCAGACUGAGAGGGGCAGCACAGCCCACAGCUCUGCCAGUUUGCCUGCUGGCACCACCAUGGUCCAGGUAGUCUCCAGCACCACAGGAAGGGGGACCACCACUGAUGCUCAGUCUCCAACCACUGCAGCUGUGACAUCCACCCAUGCUGAGAAGACAGCCAGCACAUCCCUGGGGACCAGCACUGCUCCAGGCGUCAGCUUGACCAGAGGUGACACAAGCAUGGUGCCUCCUUCCACCUCCUCUCUUCUUGCUUCCACCAUGGAGGGCACCACACUUGCCACGAGCACCAGUGAAGAGACAGCCACGACCUCCUCGCUUCGCAGCACAUCCCAGGAGACCAGCAGUGCAUCUCCCUCUACAACGACUCCUCCCAUCACAAUAGAAGAGACAUUCACUUUGGCUGGGUCCUCGACAUUGCUGGAAGGCACCAUAACUGCUUCCAUCACCAGCACAGCGGUCUCAGAGAGCACCCCCACUGCCACCCAGCCAGAGACCACAACUGGGACCACCCCUGGUAUCUCCACCCAAACCUCAGGGACAGCCCUGGACACCAUGACAGUGCCUCAAACCUCAAGUGCAGGAAUGAGUGCAUCUCACCUCUUUCUGUCACUGCGCCUAACCGUUCCCCUGGACCUUGAAAACUCCGUGGCCCAGGAGCUAAUUUUGUCCAAGCUCCGUGGGGAUCUGCAGACUGCGUUCCCGUGCGCUGGCUUCACGGUGGAGUGGAGAGGGAAGAGGAGGACCUGAACGCUCUUCUCCCAGCCUGAGGACCUGCAGGGCAGGGACCUGAGUAAAUUUGCAAGCCUUCUGCUCUCAGUUCCUUAUUCCAUGUUGGUGUGGCUCUCUAGGGUAACCUGUGCAGCUCCUGUUGAACCCAGACCCCCCCAUCCAACACUGCACCCCCGCAAGGACCACCAGUGUGCCCUGCACCCUAGUGUUCUCCUGAGCYGGGCUUGUCCCUGCCACUCCCUGCAGUCUAUCCGCAUCUCACUCCACGCUGCAGAGCUCAAGCCCUCCCAUGGCCUUGUACCAGUCCCGAUGCCCUCAUUUGGGUCCUUCUGCUGUCCCCUGGCUCUCUUGGGGGGCUGGAAGGAGAGACAGGCUGCCCAUGAGACCCUACAAGGGCUGGGCUUUCAUGGCUGGGACGGCAAUGAGCGAUGGCUGAGUCAUAAAAACCACCCUUGGGGCUGAUAAAUAAGAGAAAGGAGAUCUAGAGACCCUGUUCCUGGGCUAGUUAACACUGGUAGGUGGCAGGUCUCUGUCCAGAGCUUAGUCUGUUGGUACUAGUGACCUACAAGGCUUUGCAGCCUGGAGAUACUGCAAUACCAGAACCCUUGGAGAGCCGCUGCUAGAUGGGAAGAAGCUGGAGGGCUGCUUCGUGUCUGGAGCAGGGCCAGGAUGGAGUCCAGGGGUGGCUCUGGGAACAAAACAGAAGAGGAAAUGAGCCCCCUUUUCCAACCGAGUACAGUCCUGGGGCCAGCCGUGCUCUUCAGCCCUUCAGCGUGGAGGAUGAGUGAAACCGAAGCCCAUCAGCUCUCCCCCCGGGCCUGCCUAUGGUCUCGGUAAUGGAGCAGCGCAUCCACACCAACGCAGGCAGGGCAGUGAAAAGAAAUCCCACAUUUUCCAUGGCAAAGAUGAUGACUUCUUUUUUUCCAAGUYACCUUCCUGGAUUUUUGGCUUUGCUCUCUAGCAGGAGCACCAUGGAGGAAAACCAACURUAUCCAGCUGGGAACCAACUGGAUCUGAUUACUCCUUAGCAACCAGCAGUGGCCACCAGCUAGGAUGGGUUCCAGCACAGCCGAACCUUUAUUUAUAUGCUUCCUUCUCUGAAAUAAAUGAUGGGCUGGGAGAUUUGCUUUUGCA